rnacentral:rRNA from 1 species
CAAUAGCGUAUAUUUAAGUUGUUGCAGUUAAAAAGCUCGUAGUUGGAUUUCGGGUUGGCUUCAGCGGUCUCGCUUUGCGUUUGUACUGCUGCAGCCUACCUUCUUGUCGGGGACGGGCCUUCGGGCUUAAUUGCUUGGGGCCCGGAGUCGACGAUGUUACUUUGAGUAAAUUAGAGUGUUCAAAGCAAGCCUACGCUCUGAAUAUAAUAGCAUGGGAUAACACGACAGGACUCUGGCCUAUCGUGUUGAUCUGUAGGACCAGAGUAAUGAUUAAGAGGGACAGUCGGGGGCAUUCGUAUUCCGUUGUCAGAGGUGAAAUUCUUGGAUUUACGGAAGACGAACAUCUGCGAAAGCAUUUGCCAAGGAUGUUUUCAUUGA